CCUCGCUCGCUCCUGCAGCCGCCUCCCUCCUUCCUCGCUCACUCCUCAUCCGGCAACGGCGGCGGUGGCUCCCGCGCCCGUCGUCUCCUCCCCCCCACACUCGCCGCCGCCUCCUCUCCUCCCCCGUGCCCCGCUCAUCCCGCCUCGCCGCCUCCUCCUCUCCUCCCCUGCGUCCCGCUCCUCCCGCCUCGCUGCCGCCUCCUCUCCCCUUUCUGUCUCGCCGCCAUGCCUUCCUGCCCUGCCGCCGCGCCUCUCUCCAAUCCCCGCCCCGAGCUCCACCGCAUCCAUACCUGCUCGUUGGCAGCAGGUGGGGCUCCACCUCGUCUAGCCCAACACGGGGAGGGCCAGGACGGGAGCGAGGCGACGGCGAGGUCUCUCUCUCUCACCCGUUCUUCUCCUUGCGCAUCCUCUCCUUGUCGUCGGACAGCGCAGCCGUUGGCUCUCUCCUUGGGAUCGGGCAGGGGCAUCCCGGGGAGGGAUUGGGCUGACAAUGGAUUUGGUGUGGCGUGAGGUCUACGGCUGCUGUUGUUUCUUGCUCCCGAUGAAGAUUCCGAUGAUUUGUGCUCCGGCUCUACUUCGAGCGAGCGCGCUGAUUCCUGCUAGGUGAGCUUCUCGUCCUCCUAUGUUCCUGAUCCUCCCCCAGUCAGCGCACCCACGCCAGUUGCUGCGACCCGUGCACCCAUGAUUGUUGUGCAGUAGAUUAGAAUCAAGAUUUUGGUUGAGAGAGAGAGAGAGAGAUAGAGAGAGGAUCAUGAUCUUCCUUGGCUCAUGUAAUCAGAUUUAAGGACACUCUAUUUAUAGUAGAUAGGCAGAUGGUCCAUUGCUGGCUUGCUAAACCUGUGUGGCAAAUGUCUGUGUGUAUUUAUGCAAGGUAUAGCUUUCUGUAUAAGCAAUACACCUUUAUCUAUACAUAUAGCAACCUCUUUGAAUUUUUCUUCUUCUAGGAGAUGAUGCUGGAAACGAUCACAUUUAUGAAGUUAUGCUCUGCUUUGGCUCAUGUUUAUAUCUUAAUCCAAGUAACUGGUUCUCUCUUUUUUUGAACGAGGUCCGUCCUGGUGGAGCUCUAGACAACAUUACGAUAACCACGUUGAUGUUCCAAGCCUCACAUGAGUUAUAGUAGUAACUAUAAAUGUUUAGAUAUGUUGGAGUGCUCGCCUGGAUAAUGAUGAGAGGUGAAGAGACGCACAAAAGAUGUUGAGAUGUGACCUCGAAUGCUUCGGUUUGGGUGGUUAUGUGGGCGGAAACAAUGACCACUGAUCAUAAUUGUAGAUGUUUUGGAUCUCAGCCAUCCUUUUAUUGCUAUGAGGGAUUAUAUUUUUUGCUUCUAUAUAUGAGCUAAUUCUCUAUUGUGAGGAAUGAGUGUGUGACCCAUGUUACCUGCUACUGUAGCUUGGCAUUCCUUCUACAUGAUGAAGACGAGAGCAUGCUUGUUUUUCAAAAAUUUCAUCCACCCGUCAAACUGCAAAUCAGUGUUUGGUUGUACCAAUGCUUCCUGAAAUACAUGCAAGCAUAUCUACUCAGAAGGGGAAAAGCAGGAGUUGAAUCAUCAAUAGGAAUCUGCCAUGUAAUUGAUCUUAUUGGCUCAGAAAGAAAAUUGGCUGUUGGUCACAGUUGUUUACCAAGUAUACUAUUUUUUUGCCUACAAAAACUUCUAUGAUAAGCGACAUGUGCAGUUGCAGAUAUAGGCCUGGUACCAUAUCUUUUCUCGCUGGACAUACCUUCCGACGACGAGAGUGAUGACUUCUAUCCCGCUCCUCUCCCAGCAAGGCAUCACUACCUCCCUCCUGCAAAGGAGCGAAUCAGCAACGCUACUAUAGCAGCCCAGCACAACCGCCAAGCCAGGGCCGGCCUACUUAACCUGACAGCUUUGCUGGGCCACUUCGUGUCUCAAGCUGCGGCAGAGGGGGAAAUCCAGGCAGAGCACGCCAUCUCCAUCGCCGCGACUCGCCCUCCUGUCCGCGUCUCCCUGCCCCUUCUCCUCUAGCAGGAGGAGCACGAGCCAAGGCGUGCCACCUCCGAUUCUGCAAUGCUUCUAACGGCCAGCUCCGCAGCAUUCCAUUCGAUCAUCCGUCCGAUUGAUUCCCUUGCUCCAGCCGCUAGAUGAGCUGGAGAUGUCGGAUGUGUCCACGGUGUUGAAUGUGCCUCAGGAUCUGAAUGAACUGCAGGCUAGGCAUACCACUCUCUUGUCCAGCGCCGUUCUUUGUGUGUGUGCCUCUAAUUCUUAGUUUGUUUCAGAUCUCGGAAGAACCAAAAGAUCCUCUGCACUGCACACUUUCGCCAAUGCCUGAAGAUGGCAAAAACAGGAAACCUUCAGAAAUUAUUUUGCUGCAGCAGCUGAACAAUCACCGCAUGUUGUAGCAAGGCCCACAUAAAGAUGAUGUAGUCAUGCAUAGAUGGAGUUCAAUCUUGUGUCCCUGCUUCGUCAGGGAAAUACCAUUUGGUGUAUCUGUGGGUAUGUCUCACGACUAUGGCAGCACCGACGGCACACUGCUCUUCCGGCCGCCCUUGAGCCCACGUGGCUCGCCAGAUCAUGCGCAGUCCCAGAGCAGCACGCAGCUCGCCGGUCCGAUUCGUGCCACCCACGCCAACCUGAGAUCCGCCUCUGCAGAUCGUCGCGAGCCCCUACCCCGACCCCAAGGUUGCUGGCAGUGUCAACCCCGACGGCGAGGUCACCGUCACCCCCAACCUUGACGCCCAGGCCAGCAGAAGGUACAUUUGAUUGCUGGUACAUUUGUUGUCUGAAGGCCCAAAGUUUUUAAAUCUAACUGAAACCAAAGCCUUGUGAUUUAUCCAACUGAAGAUCCAAAGCUUGUAGUUAAAAUGAUAGUUAGGUGGUACAAGGACCGGCAUCAUGUGUACCUCAUUCAUGUGGAUACUAAAAUGUGCUCCCAUCCGCUAUUUUGCUAGGACUUCUUUGUUCUCUUUCUUAAUGGAGUCGUUGAUAAGAUAAUUUUUAUAAUGUUGUAAGACCGUAGAGAACAUAUGUUUCAUAGUUAGUAGAAUUGAGAACAUUGUACAUUGUACAUCUCGUGAUGUUAACAAAGAUGUUCUCAGUUCUCCUUAAUUUGGUCUGCCUAAGCCAUAGAAAAUGUGUCCACUGCCUAAUCAGGUGUUUAGUAAUUCAUUUUUAGAGUGUGGAUUUUGUUUCGUCACGUUAGUAAAACCAGUAGCACCAUGGAUCAUUUUGGUACUGCUAAAAUUUGGUCUUCCAUAAGAGAAUGGUUUGUGAACAACAUUUUAUUUUGAUGGAUCUAUGGAAUUGAUUUUAAAAACAUUGUGGACUUGAACUGUUGUAUGACAGGGUUAGUAUUGGUUGCCUAUUCUCACCAGCCAAAAAAUUGUACAAUGCACUAAUAAAGGGAAAACAUCCGAUCAACAAUCAAGAGUGUCUCGUGACAAAGUUUUGGAUUUGCAUUUGUCACCUACUAUGUAGAGUAUCUAUUUGAAACAUUACAAACCCCAACAUUGGUCUUUCCAUUAACUGUUUCACUAACACCCAGAGUUGGUACUGGUCUUUACAUGAAACAAUGAAGUGUUGAUCGUAUUGUAUAUUGCAGAAGGUAGAUUAAAUGAGGUGACCUACUUUCUCACUACUUAUUUGCCAUUGACUUUCUUAACCAUCAUCCUAUGCCUUCAUGUUUGUUAGGGUUCAUAUUUUGUUGCAUUAACUAAAGCACCGUGUUUUGUUAUUUUACUCCUCUGUUCAUUUUUAUAAGGUGUGGAUGGAAGAGUGACAAUAACUACAGGUUGGUCAAAGAUUGAAAGAAAUUCUCCUUUAAAUUAGGUUGGUCAAAGACAUGUAUGUUUCUUUGGUCUACAGAACGUCAGUUUACUAAUCGUGCUAAACGUUUCCAGGAAUAUGUUGCUUGUUGUUAGUUUACUAAUCUUGCCUUCUUGAUAGUUCCUUGGUCACUGUAGAUGUCUAUUGUUGUAAAAAUGUUGAGAUAUCUUCUCGAGGAAUAUGGUUUUUUUCUUCACUUUCAGGCCAAUGCUACUCAACUUUUCUUUGAGCGACCUUUUCUUUGAGCGACGAGGAAUUUCAACCGUCCUUGGCGAAGGACUACUAUCUGAUUGUCACUAGCCUCCUGUCUAAAUGCUUCGCUUUCAAUAUUUUGUAUUGUCUUGCUGCCUAUGUGCUACUCAAGCCUGAUCUAUUAAACAUUACUUGGCCUAUUCCUUUGUGCCGAGCUUGAUGUGGCUCAAUUGUACUCUAUGAUAUGUAUUUUGAUUGGAAAAUUCACGAGGUUAAAGAUUUGCAUUGUUUUUGGUUU